UACGUAGGGUGCAAGCGUUGUCCGGAAUCAUUGGGCGUAAAGCGCGCGUAGGCGGCCCGAUAAGUCCGCUGUAAAAGUCAACGGCUCAACUGUUGAAAGCCGGUGGAUACUGUCGGGCUAGAGUACGGAAGAGGCAAGUGGAAUUCCUGGUGUAGCGGUGGAAUACGCAGAUAUCAGGAGGAACACCUAUAGCGAAGGCAGCUUGCUGGGACGUUACUGACGCUAAGGCGCGAAAGCGUGGGGAGCGAACAGG
rnacentral:rRNA from 1 species